CCGACCUUAGCUCAGUUGGUAGAGCGGAGGACUGUAGUAGACGCAGAUUAUAUCCUUAGGUCAAUGGUUCGAAUCCGGUAGGUCGGA